rnacentral:rRNA from 1 species
UAAAGGAAGCGAUUCCGGCUACGGAUGGUUAUGCGUCGCAUUAGCUAGUUGGCGGGGUAACGGCCCACCAAGGCGACGAUGCGUAGGGGUUCUGAGAGGAAGGUCCCCCACACUGGUACUGAGACACGGACCAGACUCCUACGGGAGGCAGCAGUGAGGAAUAUUGGUCAAUGGCCGCAGGGCUGAACCAGCCAAGUCGCGUGAGGGAUGACGGUCCUAUGGAUUGUAAACCUCUUUUGUCAGGGAGCAAAGGGCGCCACGUGUGGCGCUUUGCGAGUACCUGAAGAAAAAGCAUCGGCUAACUCCGUGCCAGCAGCCGCGGUAAUACGGAGGAUGCGAGCGUUAUCCGGAUUUAUUGGGUUUAAAGGGUGCGCAGGCGGAAUGUCAAGUCAGCGGUAAAAUUUCGGGGCUCAACCCCGUCGUGCCGUUGAAACUGGCGUUCUUGAGUGAGCGAGAAGUAUGCGGAAUGCGUGGUGUAGCGGUGAAAUGCAUAGAUAUCACGCAGAACUCCGAUUGCGAAGGCAGCAUACCGGCGCUCAACUGACGCUCAUGCACGAAAGCGUGGGUAUCGAACAGGAUUAGAUACCCUGGUAGUCCACGCAGUAAACGAUGAAUACUAACUGUCCGGGCAGAAUGAUGCCUGG